AAGUGCCUACCACGCCACCCCCUAUCUGCAAGAAUCCAUCUGAAGAGGUCGCGGGGCAGCGGCUCCGCAGACAGACUGACCUGCGGGGAGGCAGCACUGAGGAGUAAAGGAAUAUUUGGGAGGAUCAGAAGCUUGGUCCUGAUUUUGCCAUCAACCAGGACCUUGAUGACUUCAAGGGAGUCCCCAAACCCUGGGUUUCUGUUUUCUCAACUCUAACAUGAGGGGCUAGACGCAUCUGGUUUAGUUCGUCUCCAUGAUCCUGUGAAUUUCAGAUGUUGAAAAUCUUCAGAAAAGCCCUGAAAGAUGAAGAGUGGUCUCAAAUAGUCAAGACCCCCUGCUGGGGGGAGCGUCUAUCCUGCUCUGUGGAAGAAAUGGGCAUGCCAGAUGCCUGGAAGAUCAGAGGCUCACAUUCCAGCUGUAGGUGGCCCACCAGGUUCCAACAACUGUAGAGUUCCAUCAAGAGUCAUGAUUUUACAGUUACAAGUUGGAGGGGCCUUCACAGAUCCAUCAGGCUCAAUACUGCCUCCUUAGUGAGCCUGUGAGCCCCUCAAGAUGGCUGGUCAUCAGUGUCAUCCUCUUCCUUUUCCAGACAACUAUCUUUAAAAGAAAAAAAAAGAGUGUC
rnacentral:antisense_RNA from 1 species